rnacentral:lncRNA from 1 species
GUGCCGGAGACGCCGGAAGCACCUGCCGAGCAUGCUGGAGCCACCUGCUCGACUCGCCAGAAACACCUGCCGGACACGCCAAAAUCACCUGCCGGGUACGCCAGAACCACCUGGCGGACACUCCGAAACCACCUGUCGCGCAUGCCGGAACCACCUCUCAGACGUGCCGGAAGCACGUGCCGGACACGCCGGAAUCACCUACCGGACAGACCGGAACCACCUGCCGAGCACGCCGGAGCCACCUGUUCGACUCGCUGGAACCACCUGCCGGACAGGCCAAUAUCAACUGCUGGCUAUGCCAGAACCACCUGGGGGACGGUCCGGAAUCACCUGCCAGCCAUGGCGGAACCACCUCUCAGACGUACCAGAACCACCUGCCAGAGAAGCUGGAAACACGUCCUGGACAGUCUGGAACCACCUGCCGGCCAAGCCUGAACCACCUGCCAAGCACAACGGAACAACCUGCCAGACACGCCAAAAUCACCUGCGUGUUAUGCCAGAACCACUUGGAGGACUCUCUGGGAUGACCUGCCGGGCAUGCCGGAAACACCUCUCAGACGUGCCAGAACCAUGUGGCGGACAGUCCGGAAUCACCUGUUGGGCAUGCGCAACCACCUCUGAGACGUACCAGAACCACAUGCCGUGCAGGCUGGAACCACCUACCGGACAGACCGGAAUCACCUUUCGGGCAUGCCGGAACCACCUGUCAUAUGUGCCAGAAACACGUGCCGGAGACGCCGGAAGCACCUGCCAAGCACGUUGGAACCACCUGCUCAACUCGCCUGAACCACCUGCCGGACAUGCCAAAAUCACCUGCCGACUAUGCCAGAACCACUUGGCGAACACUCCGGAAUCACUUGCCGGGCAUGCAGGAACCACCUCUCAGACAUGCCAGAACCCCGUGCCAAUGACCCCGGAAGCACCAGCCGAGCACACCGGAACCACCUGCUCGACUCGCCAGAACCACCUGCCGAUCACGCAAAAAUCACCUGACGGCUACGCCACAACCAGUUGG